rnacentral:rRNA from 1 species
AUUGAACGCUGGCGGCGUGCCUAACACAUGCAAGUCGAGCGGCAGCGCGGGAGCAAUCCUGGCGGCGAGCGGCGGACGGGUGAGUAAUGCUUGGGAAUCUGCCUGUUAGUGGGGGACAACCCGGGGAAACUCGGGCUAAUACCGCAUACGCACUACGGUGGAAAGGCCGGGGACGCAAGGCCUGGCGCUAACAGAUGAGCCCAAGUCGGAUUAGCUAGUUGGUAGGUAACGGCCACCAAGGCGACGAUCCGUAACUGGUCUGAGAGGACGACCAGUCACACGGAACUGAGACACGGUCCGGACUCCUACGGGAGGCAGCAGGUGGGGAAUAUUGGACAAGUGGGGAAACCCUGAUCCAGCGACGCCGCGUGGGUGAAGAAGGCCU